rnacentral:misc_RNA from 1 species
UACGUAGGAUGCGAGCGUUGUCCGGAUUUACUGGGUGUAAAGGGAGCGCAGGCGGAUUGAUAAGUCAGUGGUGAAAUACUCAGGCUCAACCUGGGAACUGCCACUGAUACUGUUGAUCUUGAGUGUGGAAGAGGUUGAUGGAAUUCCUGGUGUAGCGGUGAAAUGCGUAGAUAUCAGGAAGAACACCGAUGGCGAAGGCAGUCAACUGGUCCACUACUGACGCUCAUGCUCGAAAGCGUGGGGAUCAAACAGG